rnacentral:rRNA from 1 species
UACAGAGGUCUCAAGCGUUGUUCGGAUUCAUUGGGCGUAAAGGGUGCGUAGGCGGCGCGGUAAGUGGGGUGUGAAAUCUCGGAGCUUAACUCCGAAACUGCAUUCGAUACUGCCGUGCUUGAGGACUGGAGAGGAGACUGGAAUUUACGGUGUAGCGGUGAAAUGCGUAGAUAUCGUAAGGAAGACCAGUGGCGAAGGCGGGUCUCUGGGCCGAAAUUGACGCUGAGGAGCGAAAGCGUGGGGAGCGAACAGG